rnacentral:rRNA from 1 species
UACGUAGGGCGCAAGCGUUGUCCGGAAUUAUUGGGCGUAAAGGGCGCGUAGGCGGCGCUGCAAGUCAGGCGUGAAAUUCCCGGGCUUAACCUGGGGGCUGCGCUUGAGACUGUGGUGCUAGAGGAUGGAAGAGGCUCGUGGAAUUCCCGGUGUAGCGGUGAAAUGCGCAGAUAUCGGGAAGAACACCCGUGGCGAAGGCGGUUCUCUGGGACGGUACUGACGCUGAGACGCGAAAGCGCGGGGAGCGAACGGG